AAGAACUGUUCCGUUCUCUUCUUUAAUUUCCAAUUUCCAUUAACAAUGUUGCCGAAGAAGAAACAGAAGCUAACAACUGCUUUUCACAAUAAACUCACUCAUCUCUUUCACAGAAUGCCCCUCCGGCGGCUGCUCCUCACCCCCACUCUCUCAACCGCCAAAACUCUCCUCCUCCUCCUCUCCGCUGCCUUCAUCGUCUACACUCUCUUCUUCAACUCCUCAUCUCAUUCCCCUUCCCUCUUAUGCUCUUCUUCUACUCUCUCUCCCACCACGCGCCGCCACAUUGUCUUCGCCAUCGCUUCUUCCUCUAACUCAUGGUCCCGUCGCAAGCCUUAUGUUCGUCUCUGGUACGAUCGUAAUUCGACUCGUGCUUUUGCCUUCGUUGAUCGCAUUGCACCUGAUUUCGCUUCUGCUGAUCCUUCCGUUCCGCCGGUGAUUGUUUCCAAUGAUACCUCUAGGUUCCCCUAUACUUUCCGUGGAGGUCUUCGAUCGGCGAUUAGAGUGGCGCGGGUGGUGAAGGAAAUUGUUGAACGUAAUGAGCAGGACGUUCGGUGGUAUGUGUUUGGGGACGAUGAUACUUUGUUCUUUGUCGAGAAUUUGGUUAAUACGUUGGGGAAAUAUGAUCAUGAGCGGUGGUAUUACAUCGGGAGUAAUUCGGAGAGUUAUGGACAGAAUUUGAAAAAUUCAUUCGAUAUGGCGUUUGGUGGUGGAGGCUUUGCGAUUAGUCAUUCACUGGCUAGGGUUUUGGCUGGGGUUUUGGACUCGUGUUUGACUAGAUACGGGCAUUUGUAUGGAAGUGAUGCCAGAAUAUGGUCGUGCUUGGUGGAGCUUGGAGUUGGCUUAACACACGAACCUGGAUUUCACCAGGUUGAUAUGCGGGGAAAUUUAUUGGGAUUGCUAUCAGCACAUGCAUUGUCGCCGAUAGUUUCACUUCAUCAUCUGGAUGCUAUGGAUCCUAUAUUCCCAAACAUGAACAAUACGCAGGCCCUGUAUCAUCUUUUUGAAGCAGUGAAUGUGGAUCCUGGCAGGGUUUUCCAGCAAAUUGUGUGCUAUGAUCGUUCUCAUUCAUUGACUAUUUCAGUAUCGUGGGGUUUUGCUAUUCAGGUCUUUGAAGGGAAUCGGCUUCUCCCCGAUUUACUUUCACUGCAAAGAACUUUUACGUCAUGGAGAAGGGCUGCCACCAUUGAUGCGAAUCGAUACUUGUUCAACAUGAGAGAGUACCCUAAAGAUCCUUGUAAAAGAAAUAUCUUCUACAUGCAGAAUUUAAGAAUUAGUAAAAAUAAUGCCUUGACUAACUAUACUAGGAAGAUGGUCACUGAUUGUCCAGCGUCUGGUGCAAUUAAGAACCUGACACAGAUUCGAGUGUUCUCCCAGAAGUUGGAACUUGAUGUGGAGGAGAUGAAGGCUCCACGCCGGCAAUGCUGUGAUAUUAUUUCCUCUUCCAAGGAAUCGAUGCUUCUUGAAAUUAGACAAUGUGGAGUUGAAGAAUUAAUAGCUAUGUACUUCUAACCAUUUUUGUAUGCUUGUCUGGGAAGGAUAGAGUUCUAUAAAAGUUAACCAACGGUUCCUUGAGUGGUUUAAAACCAUGGAUUUUGCUGUGCUGUCCAUUCUUAAUUUAAGGCGGGAGAAAAAGUGGCCAUGCUUUCUAGUCUGAUCGGAGGUGUACUUGAAAGAAAACGAAAUGGUCUCGAGUUUCUUCUGGCAUUUUGAAUUGCCACCUGAGGUUGUUCAUCCGUCGUCUUCCAGGUUUAAGUUUUAAUUUUUUGUUUAACUGAGCAUCGAGUCUUUGGUUAGCUUAUCUGUAUGAACAUUUAGUGUAAGCCAGGAGCAGGAUGAGUUGUUUUUGGUUAUCCAUGUAAAUAUUUCUCUUGUAUAUCUCUUCUUUUAAGUUUAACCAUUAAUAAGAUAAAGAUAUAACAAGUAUUGUGUUAUAUCAAUGCAUCAUUUUCAGCAUCAAGAUCACUUAUGCUGGAAGAAA